AGAAUUGAAGUAUAAUUACAUUCGGUUUCGACCCGAAAAUUGGUCUAUCACCCGUUUCUG
rnacentral:tRNA from 1 species